CAAGAGAUGUAUAAACAGUUAAAACUGCUAAUUUUAAACCACUAAAGAUAGAAUCCUUAGAUCUCUUA
rnacentral:tRNA from 1 species